rnacentral:hammerhead_ribozyme from 1 species
ACCCUACUCAAGAGUCCCAUACUUCGACCAAGCAGCUAUUUAAUGCAUUCUGGUUUAUAAAGAUAACUUAACUGAAAUUAGUCCGUGACGAAUAUAAUCAAGAAAUGGAUGUACCUAGGAUGCAGGUACAAAAAGUCCGAAAUAGGACGAAACGCGCGUCCUGGAU